GACGAACGCUGGCGGCGUGCUUAACACAUGCAAGUCGAACGGAAAGGCCCCUUUGGGGGUACUCGAGUGGCGAACGGGUGAGUAACACGUGAGUAACCUGCCCUUGACUUCGGGAUAACUUCAGGAAACUGGGGCUAAUACCGGAUAGGAAUCCUUGCUGCAUGGUGGGGGUUGGAAAGCUUCGGCGGUUUUGGAUGGACUCGCGGCUUAUCAGCUUGUUGGUGGGGUAGUGGCUUACCAAGGCUUUGACAGGUAGCCGGCCUGAGAGGGCGACCGGCCACAUUGGGACUGAGAUACGGCCCAGACUCCUACGGGAGGCAGCAGUGGGGAAUAUUGCACAAUGGGCGGAAGCCUGAUGCAGCAACGCCGCGUGCGGGAUGACGGCCUUCGGGUUGGAAACCGCUUUCAGCAGGGGCGAAGCUUGUGGUGACGGUACCUGCAGAAGAAGCACCGGCUAACUACGUG
rnacentral:rRNA from 1 species